ACAUCGCCUCUUGAUGAACUAUAAGAGGUCCAGCCUGCCCAGUGACGUAGUUAAACGGCCGCGGUACCCUGACCGUGCGAAGGUAGCAUAAUCACUUGUUCUUUAAAUAAGGACUAGUAUCAACGGCAUCACGAGGGCUAUACUGUCUCCCCCCUCUAAUCAGUGAAACUGACUUCCCCGUGAAGAGGCGGGGAUAAACUUACAAGACGAGAAGACCCCAUGGAGCUUUAAACUCAAUAACAACCUUUAUACAACAAACCCUUAAAGCUAAAAGGCAGUGUUUAUUAGUUUUAGGUUGGGGUGACCACGGAGUAAAACCUAUCCUCCACGACGAAUAGAUUUCAUCCUAAUCCAAGAGCGACUGCUCUAAGAAUCAAAAAAUUUGACGUAAGCUGAUCCGGUAACCGAUCAACGAACCAAGUUACCCUGGGGAUAACAGCGCAAUCCAUCCCAAGAGCCCCUAUCGACGGAUGGGUUUACGACCUCGAUGUUGGAUCAGGGUAUCCCAGUGGUGCAGCCGCUACUAAAGGUUUGUUUGUUCAACAAUUAAAACCCUACGUGAUCUGAGUUCAGA
rnacentral:rRNA from 1 species